GAUGAACGCUGGCGGUAUGCUUAACACAUGCAAGUCGAACGGGAACCCUUUGGGGUUUUAGUGGCGGACGGGUGAGUAACGCGUGAGAACAUGCCUAUUGAUUGGGGACAACAGUUGGAAACGACUGCUAAUACCGAAUGUGCCUACGGGUAAAAGAUUUAUCGUCGAUAGAUUGGCUCGCGUCAGAUUAGCUAGUAGGUGAGGUAACGGCUUACCUAGGCGACGAUCUGUACUUGGUCUGAGAGGAUGACCAGGCACACUGGAACUGAGACACGGUCCAGACUCCUACGGGAGGCAGCAGUGGGGAAUUUUCCGCAAUGGGCGCAAGCCUGACGGAGCAAUACCGCGUGAGGGAGGAAGGCUCUUGGGUUGUAAACCUCUUUUAUCAGGGAAGAAAAGAUGACGGUACCUGAUGAAUCAGCAUCGUGCUAACUCCGUGCCAGCAGCCGCGGUAAUACGGGGGAUGCAAGCGUUAUCCGGAAUUAUUGGGCGUAAAGCGUCCGUAGGUGGUUGCACCAGUCUGUUGUCAAAGCGUGCGGCUCAACCGCAUACGGGCAAUGGAAACUGUGAGACUAGAGUGCGAUAGGGGUCACAGGAAUUCCCAGUGUAGCGGUGAAAUGCGUAGAUAUUGGGAAGAACACCAGCGGCGAAAGCGUGUGACUGGGUCUGCACUGACACUGAGGGACGAAAGCUAGGGGAGCGAAAGGGAUUAGAUACCCCUGUAGUCCUAGCCGUAAACGAUGACAACUAGGUGUGGUUCGUAUCGACCCGAGCCGUGCCGUAGCCAACGCGUUAAGUUGUCCGCCUGGGGAGUACGCACGCAAGUGUGAAACUCAAAGGAAUUGACGGGGGCCCGCACAAGCGGUGGAGUAUGUGGUUUAAUUCGAUGCAACGCGAAGAACCUUACCAAGGCUUGACAUCCUGCGAACUUUUCUGAAAGGAGAAGGUGCCUUCGGGAGCGCAGAGACAGGUGGUGCAUGGCUGUCGUCAGCUCGUGUCGUGAGAUGUUGGGUUAAGUCCCGCAACGAGCGCAACCCACGUUUUUAGUUGCCAGCAUUGAGUUGGGCACUCUAGAGAGACUGCCGGUGACAAACCGGAGGAAGGUGAGGAUGACGUCAAGUCAGCAUGCCCCUUACGCCUUGGGCUACACACGUACUACAAUGCGUUGGACAGAGAGUUGCAAGUCAGCGAUGACAAGCCAAUCUCGUAAACCAACGCUCAGUUCAGAUUGCAGGCUGCAACUCGCCUGCAUGAAGGCGGAAUCGCUAGUAAUCGCAGGUCAGCAUACUGCGGUGAAUACGUUCCCGGGCCUUGUACA
rnacentral:rRNA from 1 species